AAAUCCCAACACAUAACAGCUAACAGAAUUUAGACUUCUUCCAGAAUCCUCAGAGUAGAAAGAAGUAAAGAACAAGUGGGCCACUCAGUGAUGUUGCUCUGAAGCUUCACUCACAAAAGAAGAAACAAGUUAUAACUUCAGGAGACCUAG